AUCAGAAGUGACUGUUUAAGCAUGAUGAUUGGGUUUUCAUGUCAUUUUGUGAGAUGUGUCUCCCUCAAACUUGUUACAAUGUCAGUACAUUACCCAUUUGACA
rnacentral:snoRNA from 1 species